rnacentral:lncRNA from 1 species
AGUCGUUGCUCCUGGAGGGCUGCACGGCGGCUUGUCCCUUUGGUAGUUGAAUCCCGCCCAUUCCAAAAAGCGCUGACAGGGAUGUAAAGGGUUUUUUUUGUUUGUUUUUUGUUUUUUUCCCCCUCGAAGAAAACAUUGGAAUUCACCCCAAUGGACAAAAAUUUAAGUCUGACCAUACAAAAAAAUUGUCAGAACUAUGGCGCAACGGCAACUCGAAUAACGGUGGGAACGUUAAUUGUCCUGGCUAAUAAAAAAUGUAUAUAACAUUUCCUAUCCUUAAAGAGCUCACAACCUCACUGAUAAUAAAAAGUACAAAGAAAACAAGCAGUAUAACAUAUGAUUACGCCACAAUGAACUACAGAAGGGAAAAUCAAGGCGUGCUGAAGUCCCACUAAGAAACAACUGCGGAAAGAGCCAUGUGACAACA